CCUACGGGGUGCUGCAGUCGAGAAUCAUUCACCAUGGGGGAAACCCUGAUGGUGCGACGCCGCGUGGGGGAAUGAAGGUCUUCGGAUUUUAAACCCCUGUCAUGUGGGAGCAAAUUAAAAAGAUAGUACCACAAGAGGAAGAGACGGCUAACUCUGUGCCAGCAGCCGCGGUAAUACAGAGGUCUCAAGCGUUGUUCGGAAUCACUGGGCGUAAAGCGUGCGUAGGCUGUUUCGUAAGUCGUGUGUGAAAGGCGCGGGCUCAACCCGCGGACGGCACAUGAUACUGCGAGACUAGAGUAAUGGAGGGGGAACCGGAAUUCUCGGUGUAGCAGUGAAAUGCGUAGAUAUCGAGAGGAACACUCGUGGCGAAGGCGGGUUCCUGGACAUUAACUGACGCUGAGGCACGAAGGCCAGGGGAGCGAAAGGGAUUAGAUACCCGAGUAGUC
rnacentral:rRNA from 1 species